UUUUAGUGGCGGACGGGUGAGUAACGCGUGGGCAACCUGCCUUACACCGGGGGAUAGCACUUAGAAAUAGGUGCUAAUACCGCAUAACAGGAGAACAUGCAUGUGUUUUCCUUGAAAACCACGGUGGUGUAAGAUGGACCCGCGUCUGAUUAGCUUGUUGGCAGGGUAACGGCCUACCAAGGCGACGAUCAGUAGCCGGCCUGAGAGGGUGGACGGCCACAUUGGGACUGAGACACGGCCCAGACUCCUACGGAAGGCAGCAG
rnacentral:rRNA from 1 species